GGCUUUGGGGGACCACUGCGGCCAGAGCUGAGUGACACACAGCUCCUACAACCGCCUCGAAGAAAGCUGUUCUUGCCGCGCCAGUGAAAACGUUCAGUACAGCCUGAGCAGGGCAGGCCUGGGCCCACUGCUACGGGCGAGGAAGGGAGGGCCGGGAAGCGCGCAAACCGAGCCGGCUGACAGCCAGGAGGAGCAGCUCCUGGGAGCGAGCACCGGGCCAGAAGGAAGGAGGGUGCUGCUGGAGCGCCGAGGGGCAGGCUCUCAUCGCGCGGCCUGGAGGGGGGCCAUCCCACGGCCCCACGUGAAGCCAGGAAUUGGCCUUCCCCUGCCCGCCUCUAGCUAAGGAGGGCACAAGUCCAGCUGCAGCCGGUCAGCAGCUGGCCGCUGGAGUCUGGUGCACGGUUCUUGCGGCCCACUUCAGGAUUCAUUAAGGUCAUGACAGCCUAUCCUGGUUUUGGGUUUCUACCCAGCACUUCUGCAAAGGCACGUUCUCCAUGUCGACAGUUGUGCGUGAGGAUUUCUCCAAGCUCCACUGGGAACCGCACUGCCUUGAGAGAUGAGCAAAGGACAUACAUCGAGCAUGUCUAUCAACCACAAAUCCAAGGAUAAAACAGAAGAAUUUUGCUCACUGUUCACCUACAAUGGACAGCAAAGAUCUGUUUUCCUCCCUGGGUUACUAAGCCUUGCCUUCCCCAGGUAUGUAAAGCGGUGUUGGAGAGAUACAGAGGAUGGGCUGCUGUAGCUUGACCCUCUGAAUACUUGCUCCUGCUCAGAGAAUCAGACCCAUGGGGACAGGGCCUCGAGGAGCUUCCUUCAUGCCCCGCAUCGGAAGGAGCAUUCUGGAGCAGCUUGUGGGACGGGACUGGCCCUUGAGCACGCACCGCAAGCAGGAAACCUGUGCUGUCUCCUCUUCGACCAAUCGCCAGAGUUGAAAAGAAUUGUGUUCCCCAGGGUGCCAUGAUCACUUUACCCUUUCCCAGCUGUGUCUCUCCAGGGGCAGAGGGUCUGGCCCGUGACUGCCACCACCUCCCGCAGUUCCUCUGAGAGCUGGAAAAAGGCCCCCCUUCAAGACACCCGCCUUCCGUCUGUUGGGAACCUGUAAUGCGCUGAUGCUGUUGCUGACCUUUGCUAAAAGGUGUUAGAAUUAAAAUGCGCAUACAUGAUAUAA